GAGAGACUGGGGUAGGGAAGCACAUAGAAUCUGGACUGUGGGAAGAAGAGGUCUUCUGACAGCAAGAGUCUCACCAAAGGGCAGUGCCAAGGGGAGUGCCUUCCAGCCCUGGACACUACAGUCAUGAAAAUGAAUGGUUUGGCUUCACCCAAAAUGAUGGAUAAUCUUCCUAGAAGAGCGUGACAAUGAUGGACAGACAUCUUCUGUGUGAAGAGGAUUCUGAAAACGUUGCGGUCUUGAGCCGGCAAUCAAGUUGACAUAACAUCUAUCAUUUAAUAUUCUCUUAUGUUGUUGGAAUUUCUUGAACUGAACUAGCUUCAUAUUAUCCAUUUUCCUCAAACAACAACUGCAACUGCCGAAGGAGUAAUUUUUGAUGGGAGGAGAUUUUCAAUGGGUUUUGAAUUAAUGGUGAUUGAACUGUGUUAUAAAAGAAGAAAAUAA